rnacentral:rRNA from 1 species
GACGAACGCUGGCGGCGUGCUUAACACAUGCAAGUCGAACGGAAAGGCCCUGCUUUUGUGGGGUGCUCGAGUGGCGAACGGGUGAGUAACACGUGAGUAACCUGCCCUUGACUUUGGGAUAACUUCAGGAAACUGGGGCUAAUACCGGAUAGGAGCUCCUGCUGCAUGGUGGGGGUUGGAAAGUUUCGGCGGUUGGGGAUGGACUCGCGGCUUAUCAGCUUGUUGGUGGGGUAGUGGCUUACCAAGGCUUUGACGGGUAGCCGGCCUGAGAGGGUGACCGGCAAAAUGGGGGAUGGGAGACGGCCCGGGCCCCGGCGGGGGGCAGAGGUGGGGAAUGUUGGAAAAGGGGGGGAAGCCUGAAGCGGCACCGCCGGGGGGGGGAUGGCGGCUUUCGGGUUGGAAACCGCUUUCGCCUGUGACGAGGGGGGGGGGGCGGAAAUGGGGAAAGAAGCCCGGGAAAACUACGG